rnacentral:lncRNA from 1 species
AAUUUUUCUGAACUACAGGAAAGAGUGUAUUGUUUGACUGUUGUUGCAUCCAGACUUUCUGCCAAUAAUGAAAGUAAGAAAUGGCGUGGAUUUCACAAGAGGAAAGACAGUUUAUGCAUAACAGAGUCCGGGAUACUGAGAAACACUGCAUGCUUUUAGAGGAGACAGACAGAGUCUUUUUACAACAUGUUGUGUUGGUGACUGGAUAGUUCUGGGGACUAAUGAGGAGAUAGAAAAUCACAGUGAACUCAGCAACCAUUUCAAAUCCAAUUUUCUUCAACAGCUUUCCAGCCCUGAGCAGCACUGCACCAAGCCUGGCGUUGGUUCUUCUGAGCCCCAGCAGCCUUCACUUCACUGAGCUUGGAAGUCUCUGUUUCCUGAAUCAACACACCCAGCACUUGGCUUUUUCUUCCCGCUGUUACCCAGAUCGCAGGCCUGAUCACACUGUGGGCUACACACAUGGUUUAUGCUGCUGGACUGUACAUAGGAAAGAGGAACCACAUAAAGGAUGGGUCAGGAUGCUUGUGACAUGGAGGAUCAGCCUCCACAUGACUGAAGAGAAGAAAAAGGAAAGCACUGCCAUAAAAGUGACAGCAGAAGUGAAGAAUAGUGGCAGAUGCGUAAUGUGCCACUGGAAAGGAG